rnacentral:rRNA from 1 species
UAGGGAAUCUUCGGCAAUGGGGGGAACCCUGACCGAGCAACGCCGCGUGAGUGAAGAAGGUUUUCGGAUCGUAAAGCUCUGUUGUUAAGGAAGAACGAGUGUGAGAAUGGAAAGUUCAUACUGUGACGGUACUUAACCAGAAAGGGACGGCUAACUACGUGCCAGCAGCCGCGGUAAUACGUAGGUCCCGAGCGUUGUCCGGAUUUAUUGGGCGUAAAGCGAGCGCAGGCGGUUAGAUAAGUCUGAAGUUAAAGGCAGUGGCUCAACCAUUGUAGGCUUUGGAAACUGUUUAACUUGAGUGCAGAAGGGGAGAGUGGAAUUCCAUGUGUAGCGGUGAAAUGCGUAGAUAUAUGGAGGAACACCGGUGGCGAAAGCGGCUCUCUGGUCUGUAAAUGACGCUGAGGCUCGAAAGCGUGGGUAGCAAACAGG